CGCGUGGGAACAUACCCAGAGGUACGGAACAACAGUUAGAAAUGACUGCUAAUACCGUAUACGCCCUACCGGGGAAAAGAAUUUACGCCCCUUGGGAUUGGCCCGCCGUUGGAUUAGAUAGUUGGUGGGGUAACGGGCCUACCAAGUCUACGAUCCAUAGCUGGUUUGUAGAGGAUGAUCAGCCACACUGGGACUGAGACACGGCCCAGACUCCUACGGGAGGCAGCAGUGGGGAAUCUUAGACAAUGGGCGCAAGCCUGAUCUAGCCAUGCCGCGUGUGUGAUGAAGGUCUUAGGAUCG
rnacentral:rRNA from 1 species